GACCUAACCAGGAACGACUGCGAAAAAUGCAGCACAAGAUCCUCUGGUAGGAAUUGAAGGGCCGUAGGUUCAAUUCCUACCAGAGGACCUUGUGCUGCAUUUUUCGCAGUCGUUCCUGGUUAGGUC